UUAUCUCUAUCCUCCCGAACGAAAUAGGAGGUGCUCUCGGUCUCCUCUAUUAUUCCUCUCUUUCUCAAAGGUAUCAGAUAGCCAAGCAAUCAGCACCCCUGAUACCGUGAUUCACGUUCAUAUAAGUGAGCAAGUUUGGCAAUAAAAGCUGGCCGGAGAGGUAGAGAGAACCUCUUGCACCACCACGCACUCACUCACUCAUUCACUCACAUCCAUAUCCACCUAAGGCGGUCCGGGACUGGAAAGAGGUCCAUCCAAUAUCCAGCAUCCAACGACUUCAAUGUCACACAGGUAAAAUGAUCAACAAGGAGGCAACGACAACCACGACCAAGUCCAAGAGCCUGGCCGUUGGGGACUUUGGCUUGAAGGGCCCCUUCUGAAGACGAUAGAUAAGUGGUGUGGUGUGUAUUCUGCUUGGAUUCCAUCUCACACAGGUGAUGAGAGCAGAACUCUUGUGAGUGAGCGACUGAGGGUCGAGACGACGGUUUUGUCGUUACUACCGAACUCGGUAGUUUUUCUAAGGUGGGGUAGUCAUAACUUUUAGAGCGGUGGCUGUGCAUCCCAAAAAAAGGAGGAAGUUCCCCUUAUUUCAAAUGUAAGUGAGCUUGAUGAAGAUCGUCGUGGUGACUCAUUGUGAAGUGGGAUUUCUGAGACCUAGAAACACACAAUCCUGGACGAGGUUGUUCAACAUGUGAUGGAGCUUAACCCAGUUAAAAAAACAGUGCGUGUGCAAUAGAACAGUGACGAGCCAAAUUCAUCCUUGAGAGCCUCUGUUGAAAGAGUGAGAUUUCAUGAUGGGCUCAGCGGAAGAGGCGGGUGGUCCUCCACGUCAACCGCAAAAGGCCACCUUCAGUGGAAUGACCAUGUGCAUUGGCAUCAUCGCCUUGAUUGUGGACAUCAUCUCGGUGUCGGCCCCUCAUUGGGGCUAUUACGCACCUGCGGGGAUCAUUUAUGCCAGUUCGGGUUUCAAUGGUCAAGAUAAUACCGGGCAUUUUGGGCCAUUUCAACACUGCAAGAACUCUGUGUACAAAUCUUUUUGUGGCUCGGAUGGCGUGUUCCAACCCACUGUGUGGCUUCUGAUUGCUGGAUUAUCGGCAGUGUUUGCCAUUCUAACUCUAGUAUUAUUCUGCGUGUUUGCCCUCCUCCAUGUGGCCAUGCAAAUCCAAAGAACUGAGAUCUGCAUCAGCUUCAAGAGAGCACUCUUCCUCAAAUUUGUGACUUCAUGUGUGGCAGUGGUGGCGACCAUUUUUGCCGUGGGACUGGGUGCGGUUCAAUUUUCCACGGGAGGACGGUCCAGCGCCCUGCGGAACUCCAUCGGCAUUUGUUAUUAUCUCCAGAUAAUCUUGGUGUUUGUCAACAUUCUCCUGGCGGUCAUGUCCUAUCUCAGCUAUCGUAAGGCGGGCAAACACCCGCUCAACAUCGUCUCUAAGGGCAAUGCCCAACAUGGCAUGGCCUACGAAGUCCACAAUGACAAUGGAGUGUCAAUGACCAAUGCCAGUGGAGCUCCGUUUAGUCACGGCACACCCCGUCUUCCUGCUCGUCCCCAACCGCAAACUCCUACUUACAUCCACAGCAGCUAUUAUCAACAACAAUACCCACAACAGAUUCCACAGCAAAUUCCUAAUGGAGGCUAAGUCAACAAUGGCUUCACUCCCGUCACUCUCAGUGUGCCAACUCAGCCUCAAGCCUAUCAGCCCCAACAAGCCCAACAUGCUAUGCCAAUGCAGCCCAUACGGCCCAUUCAACCGGUUCAGGGCAUUCCUCAGAACGUACCUGUCUCUUAUCCGCAGCCUCAAACUCAUCAAUACCCUCAAACGUCAUCCCAUCCAGGGAAUGGCGGGGGCGUGUCACAAAUGCCCAUCAAUCAAGCCCCGGUGAAUACGGGCGGAGUGAGUUUAGCGCCAGGUGGCCGAACGGGCCAUGGAAAAAUGGUCCAAGGUCAUGGUGGGAGUAUGGAGUCUCUUAACUCCACGAACAGUAGCACCUUGAGCACACUUUCAUAUGGUUCCACAAUCUCAACAGGGAGUGGCCAUGGUCCUCUUCGGUCUAGUUUGAAAAAGACGAAACACAAGGAGGUCGCAUCAGAUACGGCCAGUGUGACCAGUUCAAAGCGAACCCGGUUCAGUUUGGGUACAGAACAGACCUCUGUGUGAGGUGUGGAACAAAAAUAAGUCAAUGUGGGCCCGUUGACUGCUCCUUCGCCGUUCUCCUUUCCCAUGGGACUAAUGGCACCUAAGCUCAUAAACGAAUAAGCAUUCAUUGGAAGUGCUGCCCAUUCAAAGUGAUAGCCAUAGAUCAAAAGGAUCAAAGACGCUGGAACGGCUCAUUGUUGGACAAUCUCUUCUGCAUUUUGUGUGUAAGAUAAACUAGCGACCAUCACUUCUCUCCACCACCACCCCCCAGUCAAAUCACAAUGAAGAAAUGUUUUCUUGGCUACAUACAAGUUGAUAAUAGAUAAUAAAUUAUGUCCAAACCGAA